rnacentral:rRNA from 1 species
AGUGAACGCUGGCGGUAGGCCUAACACAUGCAAGUCGAACGGCAGCACAGUAAGAGCUUGCUCUUACGGGUGGCGAGUGGCGGACGGGUGAGGAAUACAUCGGAAUCUACUUUUUCGUGGGGGAUAACGUAGGGAAACUUACGCUAAUACCGCAUACGACCUACGGGUGAAAGCAGGGGAUCUUCGGACCUUGCGCGAUUGAAUGAGCCGAUGUCGGAUUAGCUAGUUGGCGGGGUAAAGGCCCACCAAGGCGACGAUCCGUAGCUGGUCUGAGAGGAUGAUCAGCCACACUGGAACUGAGACACGGUCCAGACUCCUACGGGAGGCAGCAGUGGGGAAUAUUGGACAAUGGGCGGAAGCCUGAUCCAGCCAUACCGCGUGGGUGAAGAAGGCCUUCGGGUUGUAAAGCCCUUUUGUUGGGAGAGAAAAGCAGCAGGUUAAUACCCCGCUGUUCUGACGGUACCCAAAGAAGAAGCACCGGCUAACUUCGUG